rnacentral:misc_RNA from 1 species
UGGCUCUGGCAUCGAUGAAGAACGCAGCGAAAUGCGAUAAGUAAUGUGAAUUGCAGAACUCAGCGAAUCAUCGAAUCUUUGAACGCACAUUGCGCCCGCCGGUAUUCCGGCGGGCAUGCCUGUUCGAGCGUCAUUUCAACCCUCAAGCCCCGCUUGGUGUUGGGGCCCUACGGUACCCGUAGGCCCUGAAAAUUAGUGGCGGACCCGCCGCGGCUCCGAGCGUAGUAGCUUAACCUCGCUCCGGUCCCGCGGCGCGCCCCUGCCGUAAAACCCCCAAUUUUUUAAGGUUGACCUCGGAUCAGGUAGGAAUACCCGCUGA